rnacentral:rRNA from 1 species
UUACUGAUUCUGGUGGCGCAGCUAACGCUUUAACUUUCCCCCCGGGGGAGUCCGGCCCCAAAGUUAAAACUCAAAUGAUUUGACGGGGGCCCGCCACAACCGGGGAACCUUGGGGUUUAUUUCAAACCACCCCCAAAAACCUUCCCACUCUUUGCACUUGCGGGGAAGUUUCCUGGAGACGAUUUCCUUCUUUUGGGCUUCUCCCACAACAGGUGCUUCGUGGUUGUCGUCUCCUCUCGUCAGAAGAUGUGGGGUUACCCCCCACAACCACCGCCCCCCUCCCCCUUUAUUGCCACCUUUUGGUGGGCCCUCUUAGGGGACCGCCCGGGAAUAACCCGAGGAAAGUGGGGAUAACACCUCGACUUCUCGGGCCCCACACGCGGUGCUCCACACGCGCGCCACUGUGCUGGACACAGGGUUCCCCAACCCCGCGGUGGAGCUCAUCUCUCCAAACCCCUUCUCAUCUCGAACUCCACUCUGCACCUCGCGGGCAUAAGUCUGAAAUCCCUAGAAAUCCCAAAUCAACUUUCUGCGGUAAAUACUUCCCCGGCCCUUGUACACCCCCCCCGUCACCCCUGGGGAUGUGUUUUUCCCCAAGUGUCGAGCCCUACCCUCGGGGGGACAGCUACCCCCGGGAGGUUCAUCAACGGGGGUAAAUUCUAACAGGGAAACCCCAAAAAGGGG